UGGGGGGGGGGCUAGGAUGAAAAAUUUUGUCCUGCUUUUUUUUUUAGUUGUAAUCUCUGUCCUGCCUUUUUAUUUUUUACUCUAUUCGGUCCUGCCUUUUUUUUUACUAGUUUAUCCUGACUUUUUUUACACAAAUUGUCAUCCUGCCUUUUUUUUUACCAAGUUGCUCAUCCUGCCUUUUUUUUUACUCAAAACUCCUGUCCUGCCUAUUUUUUUUCAAAUUUCAUCCUAGCCCCCCCCCCC
rnacentral:lncRNA from 1 species